GUCGAGGUGUCCGAGUGGUUAAGGAGUGUGACUUGAAUUACAUCUCGUGUAUCUGGUUAUCACAUGACAUUUGUCGCGUAGGUUCGAACCCUGCCCUCGACG